GUUUGAGGAUGAUGAGACAAACAUUUUUCACAGUUAUCCCUGUCUGAUAAAUUUCUGCUGAAAAGUUUGUGAUCUGACUUUAGU